rnacentral:rRNA from 1 species
UAGGGAAUCUUCCGCAAUGGGCGAAAGCCUGACGGAGCAACGCCGCGUGAGUGAUGAAGGUCUUCGGAUCGUAAAACUCUGUUAUUAGGGAAGAACAAAUGUGUAAGUAACUAUGCACGUCUUGACGGUACCUAAUCAGAAAGCCACGGCUAACUACGGGCCAGCAGCCGCGGUAAUACGUAGGUGGCAAGCGUUAUCCGGAAUGAUUGGGCGUAAAGCGCGCGUAGGCGGUUUUUUAAGUCUGAUGUGAAAGCCCACGGCUCAACCGUGGAGGGUCAUUGGAAACUGGAAAACUUGAGUGCAGAAGAGGAGAGUGGAAUUCCAUGUGUAGCGGUGAAAUGCGCAGAGAUAUGGAGGAACACCAGUGGCGAAGGCGACUUUCUGGUCUGUAACUGACGCUGAUGUGCGAAAGCGUGGGGAUCAAACAGG